rnacentral:tRNA from 1 species
UUGGAUUUAGUUUAAUUAAAAUUUUUGUUUUUGGAUCAAGAGAUGUUUCCAAG